rnacentral:ncRNA from 3 species
AUGUUAUCAAGAAAGGUGGAGGGAUUAGACCCAAAGAAACCUUAGCAACCCUUUAUUUGGAAAGUUUAAAAAUUUUAGAAUUUUUAAAUAAAUCAAAUAAAGAAGGUGCUAAAUUCUACUUAAAAACUGUUUUAUUACAAAAUUAUAGUUUUUUAAGAGAGAUAACGG